UUGAACGCUGGCGGCAUGCCUUACACAUGCAAGUCGAACGGCAGCACGGGUGCUUGCACCUGGUGGCGAGUGGCGAACGGGUGAGUAAUGUAUCGGAACGUGCCCAGUCGUGGGGGAUAACGUAGUGAAAAUUACGCUAAUACCGCAUACGAUCUAUGGAUGAAAGCGGGGGAUCGCAAGACCUCGCGCGAUUGGAGCGGCCGAUAUCAGAUUAGGUAGUUGGUGAGGUAAAGGCUCACCAAGGCAACGAUCAGUAGCUGGUCUGAGAGGACAAUCAGCCACACUGGGACUGAGACACGGCCCAGACUCCUACGGGAGGCAGCAGUGGGGAAUUUUGGACAAUGGGGGAAACCCUGAUCCAGCAAUGCCGCGUGAGUGAAGAAGGCCUUCGGGUUGUAAAGCUCUUUUGUCAGGGAAGAAACACCGGCUCUAACACAGUCCGGGAAUGACGGUACCUGAAGAAUAAGCACCGGCUAACUACGUG
rnacentral:rRNA from 1 species